CUUCCUGAAGCGCGGAUGCUUGAAGAUGGAAAUAAAUUUGAUUCAUCCCGGGACAGAAAAAGCCCUUUAAGUUUAUGGUACGCAAGCAGGAGGUGACCUGAGGCUGAAAGAAAGGGUUGCCCAGAUGAGUGUGGGUCAGAGAGCCAAACUGACUAUAUCUCCAGAUUAUGCCUACGAUGCCGCUGAGCACCCAGGCAUCAUCCCACCACAUGCCACUCUCGUCUUUGAUGUGGAGCUUUUAAAACUGGAAUGACAGGAAUGGCCUCCUCCCUUAACUCCGUGUUCUUCCAUCUGCCAUGGAGAGCUCUGGUGCCUCCAGAUGCAUGAACAUGAAUCCAUAUGGAGCUUUUCCUGAUGUUCCAUUCUGCUCUGUAUAGACAUCUGCUCUGACUGAAUGUGUUCUGUCACUCAGCUUUGCUUCCAACACCUCCAUCUCCUCUUCCCCUUUCUCCUUGUAUGUGUAUUACCUAAACUAUAUGCCAUAAACAGGAAGUUAUUCAUUUUAUUUUGUUUUCAUUUUGGGGUGAAGAUUCAGUUUCAGUCUUUUGGAUCUAGGUUUCCCCUUAAGUAUAUGGUCAAGCAUUAACAGCACAAGUGAUAGGUUAACUUUAGAAUAGGAAUUAGUGUUGGGGGGGUUGCAAGAAUAUUUUAUUUUAAUUUUUUGGAUGAAAUUUUUAUCUAUUAUAUAUUAAACAUUCUUGCUGCUGCACUGCAAAGUCGUAGCAGAUUUGAGGUGCUGUUGAGGGCUGAAUUAUUCUCCAAGUGGUGAGAGGUCCUUGGGUUAAAUUAAAAGCCUUACCUGGACGG